rnacentral:rRNA from 1 species
CAUUACACAAAUAUGAAGCCGGACUGGGAUAGGGCCUCGCUGCCUUGCCCGUCUGGCGCCAUAUUCACCCAUGUCUUUUUGCGUACUACUUGUUUCCUUGGCGGGUCCGCCCGCCAAUUGGACCUUAUUCAAACCUUUUUUUCAGUUGCAAUCAGCGUCAGCAAAACAAAUGUAAUCAAUUACAACUUUCAACAACGGAUCUCUUGGUUCUGGCAUCGAUGAAGAACGCAGCGAAAUGCGAUAAGUAGUGUGAAUUGCAGAAUUCAGUGAAUCAUCGAAUCUUUGAACGCACAUUGCGCCCUUUGGUAUUCCAAAGGGCAUGCCUGUUCGAGCGUCAUUUGUACCCUCAAGCUUUGCUUGGUGUUGGGCGUCUUGUCUCUCUCCCGAGACUCGCCUUAAAAUCAUUGGCAGCCGGCCUACUGGUUUCGGAGCGCAGCACAUUAUUUGCGCUCUUGUCCAGCCGCGGUCGCGCGUCCAUGAAGCUUCUUUCAACCUUUUGACCUCGGAUCAGGUA